GACGAACGCUGGCGGCGUGCUUAACACAUGCAAGUCGAGCGGUAAGGCCCUUUCGGGGGUACGACGAGCGGCGAACGGGUGAGUAACACGUGGGUGGACCUCGCCCUCCAGCUCUGGGAGUAAGCCUGGGAAACCGGGGUCUAAUACUGGAUAUGACUCCAUGACGCAUGUUGUGGGGUGGAAAGACCUUGUGCGGCUGAGGAUGGGCCCGCGGCCUAUCAGCUUGUUGGUGGGGU
rnacentral:rRNA from 1 species